rnacentral:rRNA from 1 species
GGAGGAAAGCAGGGGAUCGCAAGACCUCAUGCUCGUGGAGCGGCCGAUAUCUGAUUAGCUAGUUGGUAGGGUAAAAGCCUACCAAGGCGUCGAUCAGUAGCUGGUCUGAGAGGACGACCAGCCACACUGGAACUGAGACACGGUCCAGACUCCUACGGGAGGCAGCAGUGGGGAAUUUUGGACAAUGGGCGAAAGCCUGAUCCAGCAAUGCCGCGUGAGUGAAGAAGGCCUUCGGGUUGUAAAGCUCUUUUGUCAGGGAAGAAACGGUGAAAGCUAAUAUCUUUCGCUAAUGACGGUACCUGAAGAAUAAGCACCGGCUAACUACGUGCCAGCAGCCGCGGUAAUACGUAGGGUGCAAGCGUUAAUCGGAAUUACUGGGCGUAAAGCGUGCGCAGGCGGUUUUGUAAGUCUGAUGUGAAAUCCCCGGGCUCAACCUGGGAAUUGCGUUUGAAACUACAAAGCUAG